rnacentral:rRNA from 1 species
UACGAAGGUCCCGAGCGUUGUUCGGAAUCACUGGGCGUAAAGGGAGCGUAGGCGGCUUUGCAAGUCGGGUGUGAAAGCCCUCAGCUCAACUGAGGAAGUGCGCCCGAAACUGCAUGGCUUGAGUACCGGAGAGGAUGGUGGAAUUCCCCAAGUAGAGGUGAAAUUCGUAGAUAUGGGGAGGAACACCGGUGGCGAAGGCGACCAUCUGGACGGAUACUGACGCUGAGGCACGAAAGCGUGGGGAGCAAACAGG